rnacentral:lncRNA from 1 species
UAAAAAUGGUUUUGAUAUCUGACUUGAGUGAAUGAAAGGAUAUCACGUACUUAUUAACUGAUGGUAUGCUUGUCAGAUUUGCAGGUAACACAAAACUUAAGAGGGAGAAAUUGAUGACAGAGAAGAUUCAAAAAUAUCUUGACAGGAAAUGCUUCAAGGUCUAUAGAAAAUAA